GGGUGCUUAGCUCAGCUGGUUAGAGCGUCUCGUUUACACCGAGAAGGUCCGGGGUUCGAGCCCUCGAGCACCCA
rnacentral:tRNA from 1 species